rnacentral:hammerhead_ribozyme from 1 species
GUGCUGAUGAAGAGUCCCAAACUAGGACGAAACAGUUGUUCAGUAC